rnacentral:rRNA from 1 species
GAUGAAUGCUGGCGGCGUGCCUAAUACAUGCAAGUCGUGCGGUAACACUUCGGGUGACGAGCGGCGGACGGCUGAGUAAUGCAUUGGAACGUACCCCAAACUGAGGGAUAACUGCCCGAAAGGGUAGCUAAUACCGCAUGUGCUCUUCGGAGUAAAGCUACGGCGGGUUGUGAGCGGCCAAUGUUCGAUUAGCUUGUUGGUGAGGUAAUGGCUCACCAAGGCGACGAUCGAUAGCGGGUGUGGGAGGAUGAACCGACAGACUGGAACUGAGACACGGUCCAGACUCCUACGGGAGGCAGCAGUGGGGAAUCUUAGACAAUGGGGGCAACCCUGAUCUAGCCAUGCCGCGUGAGUGAUGAAGGCCUUAGGGUUGUAAAGCUCUUUCGGCUGGGAAGAUAAUGACGGUACCAGCAGAAGAAGCCCCGGCUAACUCCGUGCCAGCAGCCGCCGUAA